AACGAACGCUGGCGGCGUGGAUAAGACAUGCAAGUCGAACGGGACAAGUAGCAAUAUUUGUCUAGUGGCGAACGGGUGCGUAACACGUGGGCAACAUGCCUGGAAGAGCGGGAUAGCCCGGGGAAACUCGGAUUAAUACCGCAUGUGACAACGGGGCGGAUUCGCCCUGUUUUCAAAGGUGGGGACCGCAAGGCCUGCCGCUUCCAGAUUGGCCCGCGUCCUAUCAGCUAGUUGGCGGGGUAACGGCCCACCAAGGCGACGACGGGUAGCGGGUCUAAGAGGACGAGCAGCCACACGGGAAAGGAGACACGGUCCAGACACCUACGGGGGGCAGCAGUCGAGAAUCUUUCACAAUGGGGGAAACCCUGAUGGAGCGACGCGGCGUGGAGGAUGACGGUCUUCGGAUUGUAAACUCCUGUCAUGAAAGAACAAGCGGAGCGGGUGAACAGCCCGCCGAGUUGAUAGUAUUUCAAGAGGAAGGGACGGCUAACUUCGUGCCAGCCGCCGCCGUAAGAC
rnacentral:rRNA from 1 species